AGUGAUUAGAGUUUGAUCAUGGCUCAGAUUGAACGCUGGCGGUAGGCUUAACACAUGCAAGUCGAGCGGAAACGAAGGUAGCUUGCUACCAGGCGUCGAGCGGCGGACGGGUGAGUAACGCGUGGGAAUUUGCCUAGUAGUGGGGGAUAGCCCGGAGAAAUCCGGAUUAAUACCGCAUAAUCUCUACGGAGUACGUGGCCUCUCCUUGGAAGCUAUCGCUACUAGAUAAGCCCGCGUCAGAUUAGCUUGUUGGUGAGGUAAAGGCUCACCAAGGCGACGAUCUGUAGCUGGUCUGAGAGGAUGAUCAGCCACACUGGAACUGAGACACGGUCCAGACUCCUACGGGAGGCAGCAGUGGGGAAUAUUGCACAAUGGGCGCAAGCCUGAUGCAGCCAUACCGCGUGUGUGAAGAAGGCUCUAGGGUCGUAAAGCACUUUAAGCAGGGAGGAAGGCCUAAUGGUUAAUACCCAUUAGGAUUGACGUUACCUGCAGAAUAAGCACCGGCUAACCUCGUGUCAGCAGCCGCGGUAAUACGAGGUGUGCAAGCGUUAAUCGGAAUUACUGGGCGUCAAGCGUACGCAGGUGGUUUGUUAAGCGAGAUGUGAAAGCCCCGGGCUCAACCUGGGUACUGCAUUUCGAACUGGCAGACUAGAGUAUGAUAGAGGGUGGUAGAAUUUCAGGUGUAGCGGUGAAAUGCGUAGAGAUCUGAAGGAAUACCGAUGGCGAAGGCAACCACCUGGGUCAAUACUGACGCUCAUGUACGAAAGCGUGGGGAGCAAACGGGAUUAGAUACCCCGGUAGUCCACGCCGUAAACGAUGUCUACUAGCAGCUCGGGUCCUCGGACUUGUUUUGCAAAGCUAACGCAUUAAGUAGACCGCCUGGGGAGUACGGCCGCAAGGUUAAAACUCAAAUAUGAAUUGGGGGGCCCGCACAAGCGGUGGAGCAUGUGGUUUAAUUCGAUGCAACGCGAAGAACCUUACCUACACUUGACAUCCAGAGAAAUCGCUAGAGAUAGCUUUGUGCCUUCGGGAACUCUGAGACAGGUGCUGCAUGGCUGUCGUCAGCUCGUGUUGUGAGAUGUUGGGUUAAGUCCCGCAACGAGCGCAACCCCUAUCCUUAGUUGCCAGCGAGUAAUGUCGGGAACUCUAAGGAGACUGCCGGUGAUAAACCGGAGGAAGGUGGGGACGACGUCAAGUCAUCAUGGCCCUUACGUGUAGGGCUACACACGUGCUACAAUGGCAGGUACAGAGUGAUGCGAGCUCGCCGAAGGUGAGCGAAUCACUUAAAAGUGUCGUCGUAGUCCGGAUCGGAGUCUGCAACUCGACUGCCAUGAAGUCGGAAUCGCUAGUAAUCGCGUAUCAGAAUG
rnacentral:rRNA from 1 species